GGACUACUAGGGUAUCUAAUCCCGUUUGCUCCCCUAGCUUUCGCGCCUCAGCGUCAGAAGAGGUCCAGCCCGUCGCUUUCGCCACCGGCGUUCCUUCCGAUAUCAACGCAUUUCACCGCUCCACCGGAAGUUCCACAGGCCCCUACCUCCCUCGAGGUAGCCAGUAUCCGAGGCAGUUUUCCGGUUGAGCCGAAAGAUUUCACCCCAGACUUGGCCACCCGCCUACGCGCCCUUUAAGCCCAGUGAUUCCGAACAACGUUCGCACGGUUCGUCUUACCGCGGCGGCUGGCAC
rnacentral:rRNA from 1 species